rnacentral:rRNA from 1 species
GAUGAACGCUAGCUACAGGCUUAACACAUGCAAGUCGAGGGACCGGCGCACGGGUGAGUAACACGUAUCCCACCUGCCCUUUACUCGGGGAUAGCCUUUCGAAAGAAAGAUUAAUACCCGAUAUAAAGGAUGGGGAUGCGGUCCAUUAGGUUGUUGGUGAGGUAACGGCCCACCAAGCCUUAGAUGGCUAGGGUUUCGGGGAGGAAGGGCCCCCACAUUGGAACCUAGGCACGGGCCAAACUCCGACGGGAGGGAGCAGUGAGGAAUAUUGGUCAAUGGGCGCUAGCCUGAACCAGCCAAGUAGCGGGAAGGAGGAAGGCUUAUGGGUCGUAAACUUCUUUUAGAUAAGAAUAUGUAUUAUAUGAAUAAGGAUCGGCUAACUCCGUGCCAGCCGCCGCGGUAAUAC